AACGCACGAGACCUGCGGACCUGCGGAAGGAUCAUUACCGAGUUUACAACUCCCAAACCCAAUGUGAACGUUACCAAACUGUUGCCUCGGCGGGAUCUCUGCCCCGGGUGCGUCGCAGCCCCGGACCAAGGCGCCCGCCGGAGGACCAACCAAAACUCUUUUGUAUACCCCCUCGCGGGUUUUUAAUAUCUGAGCCAUCUCGGCGCCUCUCGUAGGCGUUUCGAAAAUGAAUCAAAACUU
rnacentral:misc_RNA from 1 species